rnacentral:rRNA from 1 species
AGAGGGUGCAAGCGUUAAUCGGAAUUACUGGGCGUAAAGGGUGCGUAGGUGGUUUGUUAAGUCAGGCGUGAAAUCCUCGGGCUCAACCUGGGAACUGCGCUUGAUACUGACAGACUCGAGUGUGGUAGAGGAUAGUGGAAUUCCCGGUGUAGCGGUGAAAUGCGUAGGUAUCGGGAGGAACAUCAGUGGCGAAGGCGGCUAUCUGGACUAACACUGACACUGAGGCACGAAAGCGUGGGUAGCAAACAGGAUUAGAUACCCUGGUAGUCCACGCCCUAAACGAUGGGUACUAGACGUCGGGAAGCUUGUCUUCUUGGUGUCGCAGCUAACGCAAUAAGUACCCCGCCUGGGGAGUACGGUCGCAAGAUUA